rnacentral:rRNA from 1 species
GAUGAACGCUGGCGGCGUGCCUAAUACAUGCAAGUCGAGCGAACGGACGAGAAGCUUGCUUCUCUGAUGUUAGCGGCGGACGGGUGAGUAACACGUGGAUAACCUACCUAUAAGACUGGGAUAACUUCGGGAAACCGGAGCUAAUACCGGAUAAUAUUUUGAACCGCAUGGUUCAAAAGUGAAAGACGGUCUUGCUGUCACUUAUAGAUGGAUCCGCGCUGCAUUAGCUAGUUGGUAAGGUAACGGCUUACCAAGGCAACGAUGCAUAGCCGACCUGAGAGGGUGAUCGGCCACACUUGAACUGAGACACGGUCCAGACUCCUACGGGAGGCAGCAGUAGGGAAUCUUCCGCAAUGGGCGAAAGCCUGACGGAGCAACGCCGCGUGAGUGAUGAAGGUCUUCGGAUCGUAAAACUCUGUUAUUAGGGAAGAACAUAUGUGUAAGUAACUGUGCACAUCUUGACGGUACCUAAUCAGAAAGCCACGGCUAGCUACGUG